CAGCAGCCGCGGUAAUACGUAGGGUGCAAGCGUUGUCCGGAAUCAUUGGGCGUAAAGCGCGCGUAGGUGGCCAUUUAAGUCCGCUGUGAAAGUCAAAGGCUCAACCUUUGAAAGCCGGUGGAUACUGGAUGGCUAGAGUACGGAAGAGGCGAGUGGAAUUCCUGGUGUAGCGGUGGAAUGCGCAGAUAUCAGGAGGAACACCAAUAGCGAAGGCAGCUCGCUGGGACGUUACUGACACUGAGGCGCGAAAGCGUGGGGAGCGAACAGGAUUAGAUACCCCCGUAGUCCCUGUCUCUUAUAC
rnacentral:rRNA from 1 species